ACAUGACUUUGAUCUGCGUCCUCAUCUGGACUCUCCUCUGCUGCUGCUUCACAGAGUCCAGAGGACAGGUCACAGUGACUCAGCCUGCAGCAGUGACAUCUGAUCUGGGACGAACCGUCACCAUCACAUGUAAAACCAGUCAGAAUGUUCAUGGUAACAACUAUUUAUCCUGGUACCAACAGAAAGAUGGACAAACUCCUAAACUCCUCAUAUACUAUGCUAGCAGCAGAGCAUCAGGGAUUCCAGGUCGUUUUACAGGCAGUGGAUCACAGACAGAUUUUACUUUCACCAUCAGUGGAGUUCAGGCUGAAGAUGCUGCAGUUUAUUACUGUAUGGGGGAAUUCUACAUUAACAGCCAGUACUCGUUCACACAGUGAAAACCAGUCGUACAAAAACCUGCCUCAAUCAG